GGAAGGAUCAUUAACACGAUACCAAAACAACUCUAAACAAUUGCGAACCUGUGUCGGGAGGGCUCCUUUCGGGGGGUUCUCUCGCGUAAAUUAAACAUACCUUUAUACCACUUAUUACUCGUUUGACAGUCAAAAACCUUAUACAGGCAGUUUUAUUACUGUUUGGAUAACGCUUAAUACAACUCUUAGCAACGGAUAUCUUGGUUCUCGCAACGAUGAAGAACGCAGCGAAAUGCGAUACGUAAUGCGAAUUGCAGAAUUCAGUGAAUCAUCGAAUCUUUGAACGCAAAUUGCGCUCUCGGGUUUCUGCCUGGGAGCAUGCCUCUUUGAGUAUCGGUUCACCUCUAUUCUCAGGCUUGCUUGAGAGUGAAGUCAUAGAUGAGUGUCCGGAGCCCGUAAAGGACUCUGGUCGCUUGAAAUACAAUCGUAUGCCACAGCAUAGGGGAAGACUCCCCAUGGCUUUCUGGCUUGUUAUCACUUGAGGUAGUUUCCAAAAGUGGUGGCAGGUGCUGGGAGAGACCUCUGGGAUGUUGUACCUAUGCUAGUGCUACGAACUGGAGUUGGCAUGCCCGUCACUGGGUGUAUGCGACUCAACUUAAAUUUUAUUAUCCCUGAUCUCAAAUGAGGCAAGAGGACCCGCUGAACUUAAGCAUAUUAAUAAGCGGAGGAAAAGAAACUAACAAGGAUUCCCCUAGUAACGGCGAGUGAAGCGGGAAUAGCUCAAACUGAAAAUUGGAGUGCCUUGGGUACUCCGAAUUGUAGUCUAUAGAACUGGUGGCAGCGUGUGGCCCGGGCCUAAGUCCUUUGGAAGAGGGCGUCAUAGAGGGUGAGAACCCCGUCUAUGGUUCGGAGUCCGCCGCGUACGUCUCUAGUUUCUACGAGUCGGGUUGUUUGGGAAUGCAGCCCAAAAUGGGUGGUAAAUUCCAUCUAAAGCUAAAUACAUGCGAGAGACCGAUAGCGAACAAGUACCGUGAGGGAAAGAUGAAAAGAACUUUGAAAAGAGAGUUAAAAAGUGCUUGAAAUUGCUAAGAGGGAAGCAAUGGAAACCAGUAGUCGUGGCAUGUUCAUUUUCCUGUUUGGCUGGUGGAUGCCUGGGGCUGGGGAGUUAGCAAUGACCUCCGGUUUUGGGUAAGAAGCUAGUUGGGCAGUCCCUAUGGAUGUGCACGUGUCAAACCCGCUUUGGAAAUUAUUCACAGGAUAUGCGCCUGGUGGAAGGUAGCAGGGAUCUGUGUACGCAGUGAACUGUGUUAUAGACACCGGGGUCGUGCUGUGUUGACUGGAGCGGGCGAGUCUUGCCUCUCGAUAGGUGAGCUCCCAGUGCCGUAAGUUAUGGCUCCCUGUUUGCGGUUCAGUUUGGGGACAACAAAGUUGUGCCCGAGUUGGACUCGUGAGCACGGGUUAUGGCUGAAGUGCUGCCUUGACGUAAAUGGUUUUCACUGACCCGUCUUGAAACACGGACCAAGGAGUCUGACAUAUAUGCGAGUAUUUGGGUGAUUAAAACCCUGAUGCGUAAUGAAAGUGAAGGCAGGCAGUAGUCUGCUGAGGUGGGACUCUGGCCCCUCCGGGGUAUUUGCCAGACGCACCAUCGACCGAUCGUUCACUUGUGGAGGAUUUGAGUAAGAGCAUAUCUGUUGGGACCCGAAAGAUGGUGAACUAUGCCUGGACAGGGCGAAGCCAGGGGAAACUCUGGUGGAGGCUCGUAGCGAUACUGACGUGCAAAUCGUUCGUCUGAUCUGGGUAUAGGGGCGAAAGACUAAUCGAACCAUCUAGUAGCUGGUUCCCUC
rnacentral:misc_RNA from 1 species